UCGAUAGUGAUAUUGCGAUUGACGCUCACAUCCUGCAGCGCAACACGCGGUCACACAGCAAACCAGGCAAAAGUGUUGUGAAGUGUGGGCGAUGACUCAAAAGAGAGCGAGAGUGACAAAACCCGAAACACAGCGUACAAAAACACAACACACACAGGGCACACACACACACAUUGACGACAGAGUGCAUUCAGAAGGCUUCGCUUUUUAGCUGCUGAGCAACUGCUUAGUGUACAUACACAUACGCAUGUGUGUGGGCAUGUAUGUGUGCAUCUACAUAGCUGCAAAAGGGUCGCAACAAAUCUCAACGUAAAAUGGACAAUAGCACCCUAGUGAAGCCAAAGGCAAGGCAAGCGCCAUGCACUGCAUGUCCUGUGCACUAAGGCGGCUGCACUAUGCAUGCAAGUCUUUUCAGUAAGGACACGCACACACACACACACAUACAUAAUCACACGCAUACAUGAAAAACGAGGACGCAGUCGAGGACAUUGCAGCGCCAAACAAGAAAAUCGAUGAUAUUUUCACUACUUCCGGCAGUACAAAAACAACUAAGCCUGCUUUAAUCGAGUGUGAUCCAAUAGGUUAUACUCUGUGUUAACAAUCAGCAACAGAUGUGCCUCUUCUUCUUCACUUAACACUUCAUUACGAAGUAUAUAUUCAUUAAUAACUUCUAAUAACAAAAUGAUGAUCAGCAACACUUACAUUUGGGUUCCGAAUGGAAUCGAAUAUCCCCAUAUUCAUUAUAGCUUUGCCUCUCUGGCCAGACGCCUAAAGUUAUUAGACUGCGACACCUUUUGGUAACGCCGCAUUGCAAAGGGGAAACGGGUGGGUGGAGCGGAGAAAGGACAAAGCGUCUAAAGGAGCUGUGCAAACAGCUCGCCGCCGUCUCUGAUGAUGAUGUUUUGUGUGCUCAGAAAGCAAAAGUUGUGACUGCAUGCGAGGAGAAGGGAAAAAUUUCAAUCCUAAACUGAAGUAACAUCAAGUUAUCUAUAUUUUUUCUGUAUGCGAGAGUUUUCAGGAAAUCUGAUUAACGAUCAUUAAGGAAAUACAGUCAAAGAACUCAAGUAACGGGUAACUUGCUUGGACCGCUUUAUCGUUUUAAUUGGAUAACAUAGCUCAUGCCCUGUGCCAAUCGAACGAAUGUUACGCAAAGAAUUGAUUUAAAUACAAUUAAUUAACAUUGUUUACGCCAUUGACGAACUGGGUCAAAUAAUUUUCCAUACACAUGUGUUCAUAUGUGUACGUAUGUGUAGGUUUUGCUGUAAAAUUUGCAAAACAAGUGACCCAUGUCAAUUAAGCAAAAGCCGAACAAGAAGGCACAAGUUUUGUGCAGCAUAACGAAGAUUCUAAGCCCUUACUACAAAGUAAUUGCUCCCAAAU